GAUGAACGCUGGCGGUGUGCUUAACACAUGCAAGUCGAACGGACUCUUUCGGGAGUUAGUGGCUGACGGGUUGGUAACGCGUGAGAAUCUGCCCUUUGAAGGUGGAUAUCGCUUGGAGACGACCGCUAAUACCCCAUGUGCCUAGAGGGAAAAUGUGAUUCGCCAAGGGGUGAGCUCGGGUCGGAUUAGCUAUUUGGUGGGGUAAGAGCCCACCAAGGCGACGGUCCGUAGUUGGUCUGAGAGGAUGACCAGCCACACUGGGACUGAGACACGGCGCAGACUCCUACGGGAAGCAGGAGUGGGGAAUGCUCCGCAAUGGGAGGAAGGAUGAAGGAGCAAGGCGGCGGGAAGGAAGACGGUCUGUGGAUUGAAAACCUUUUUUGACAGGGAAGAAGUACUGACGGUACCUGUCGAAUAAGCCACGGCUAACUACGUG
rnacentral:rRNA from 1 species